rnacentral:tmRNA from 1 species
GGGGGCGAUCGGUUUCGACGGAUGGUCGAGGACGCUCACUGCGUGCCGAGGUGCCGGAUCCUCGCAAAACUUGCGGCAAAGCCAAUCUAAUUGGCGACAACACUCUCGCUCUCGCUGCCUAGCUAAUACCUAGAGCAACGAGCACGCCCGCGCCCGAUGUCUGCUGAGGCGCGGGGGUGUCAUACCAGCAGGCUGGUCCAAGCCCUCGUCGGGGGGAGGCGGACGAGAAAACACCCGACUCGCGAUCGGCCCGGCGAGCACCGAAGCCAAGCCGAUCGCUAAAUCAAACACGGGGCUACGCACGUAGACGUGGGCGGAAGAAGCCAUUCGGACCCGGGUUCAAUUCCCGGCGCCUCCAG